AUUGAACGCUGGCGGCAGGCCUAACACAUGCAAGUCGAGCGGAUGAAGGGAGCUUGCUCCUGGAUUCAGCGGCGGACGGGUGAGUAAUGCCUAGGAAUCUGCCUGGUAGUGGGGGAUAACGUCCGUAAACGGGCGCUAAUACCGCAUACGUCCUGAGGGAGAAAGUGGGGGAUCUUCGGACCUCACGCUAUCUGAUGAGCCUAGGUCGGAUUAGCUAGUUGGUGGGGUAAAGGCCUACCAAGGCGACGAUCCGUAACUGGUCUGAGAGGAUGAUCAGACACACUGGAACUGAGACACGGUCCAGACUCCUACGGGAGGCAGCAGUGGGGAAUAUUGCACAAUGGGCGAAAGCCUGAUCCAGCCAUGCCGCGUGUGUGAAGAAGGUCUUCGGAUUGUAAAGCACUUUAAGUUGGGAGGAAGGGCAGUAAGUUAAUACCUUGCUGUUUUGACGUUACCAACAGAAUAAGCACCGGCUAACUUCGUG
rnacentral:rRNA from 1 species